GGCCUAUCUCGGUUUUCUCUUUUCAGGAGCGAAUCGAAGUUCAUCGAAACUAGUAAACCAUUCGGACGUCUGAGUCAGUCAGCCAUGGAGACCGAUGGAACGUUUUGUACAAAUAAUACCAGCGGUGCGGUCCUACUACACCAGGAUAAAUCCCUGAAUCCUUGGUCGGCAAUAAAGGCAACAGCGUAUAUAUUUGGUUCGGCACACUUCUUCAAUUUUUCUCGCCAGGACUGGACAGCAAUGAAUCAGACGUUCUUG